UGAUCUCGGCGGGUCGUGUCGGCUACCGGUUUUUAUAAGUUUCCUGUCCGGAGAUUUAUGACGAGGGGACCAACAACGAUAUUAUAUGUGUAUAAUAUACAGGUGUGUAUAUCAUACGUUAUAUUAUAUGGGUAGCGCCCGCCGAGACACCACCGAGUCUCGGAGAUUUCAACCGUUUUGAGACGUCACCGCGGUGGCUUAAAAGAGGAUGUCGGCGCACUAUAUAUUAUAGUUAUUAGUAUGUUUGUUUUCACUCUCCGGACCCACUGCAGCGAUGUGCAUUGUGAAGGUCGAUUCUCUCCGACAUUAAAGCAAACGACCCAACUAAACGAGACUGGUUCUGCCGAACGUGAAUUCACCAUGUGACGCGUGACUAUCGGUAAGAGAAAUCAAAAACUGUGCGUCGAUAAUUCCUUUCAAAUAUAUAAUACCAUAAAUGGCUCAAGUUUACAGUCAGUAUUAAAAAGGUUUAGGCGUUAACUUAAACAUGGUUCGAACUUUCACUUUCACGUAAAAGCGAUUUUAUAUAUAUGAUGCUCUCGUCUCGAAUAAUUCAAGUUAUUUGCCAUUUCCAGUUCUCUUUUUGAAAACUCGUCUACCGUCUGUUCUGUGCGACCCUUUCACAGCUGUUGACUCUUCCCGUGUAUAAAGGGUGUAAGAAGGCGAUUUAUGAAUUCCUCGUCUUUCAUUCUAAAAAUUUACCUGCACAAUCCUCAUGACUCCUGCCCAGUCAUGCAUAAGCUUGAUAUCCGCCCCCUUAGUGGAUAUAGAUGAAAGAGUAGACGGUAACUUAUAGUAUUCCUUCCUGCAGGGCUGAUGGACGGACGUGUACGCAUGCCCUUUAUUUGGUCUUCAAAUUAAAUUUUUAAGAUCCUUCCCGUUUCACACGAUCCCAAAUUACUGUUAUUGUACCCCUUCAUUCAACUAAUUACGUUUACAACGAUUCUUAGCUGAAAACAGAAUGAUGCUACGAGUAAGGUCUAAUUGCACUUAUUUAUGCCGAAGUACACUUGCAGGGACAGAAAAAGGUAUAAUGUUCGAACGGCUGGUAUCGAAUUGGUACCCGAGCUCCAACUACACAUGCCAAAUUGGUUCUCUUUUAAAAAAUAUAUUCUAUUGAGUUGAGCAGAAUAGGUUCACGUUUAAUUACUCACAUUUUCCUUCUCAAUCAUGAUCCAAAACCUAUAAAUAUGAAAGAAUAUCAAUCGAUGAUUGAAAAUAAUUUGUAUUUUUAAUGUUCAAAGAUAAUUGUUUUAAUUUGAAUAAUAUUGCAUAUACAGCUACAAUUUAAAAUGUAUAAUAAGAAUAUGAAAAUAUGUAUUUACGUUUAUUUCAAAAUAAAUUAUUUACAACUUUGAACUUCUACGAGCGAAUAGUUUAAAUAGUACAAUUCGAACAAUUGGUCUUGUGUUGAACUCAAGUGUAAUUAUUCAAAGUUUUUCAUUUAGGCGACUAAGAAGUUCAAAAAAACCAAAUACCUAUGCUAUAUUAUAUGAGCACCCUUUAUGUUUAUUUGUUUUAUUAAGC